rnacentral:rRNA from 1 species
AGUGAACGCUGGCGGUAGGCCUAACACAUGCAAGUCGAACGGCAGCACAGUAAGAGCUUGCUCUUACGGGUGGCGAGUGGCGGACGGGUGAGGAAUACAUCGGAAUCUACCUUUUCGUGGGGGAUAACGUAGGGAAACUUACGCUAAUACCGCAUACGACCUACGGGUGAAAGCAGGGGAUCUUCGGACCUUGCGCGAUUGAAUGAGCCGAUGUCGGAUUAGCUAGUUGGCGGGGUAAAGGCCCACCAAGGCGACGAUCCGUAGCUGGUCUGAGAGGAUGAUCAGCCACAUUGGAACUGAGACGCGGUCCAGACUCCUAAGGGAGGCAGCAGUGGGGAAUAUUGGACAAUGGGCGCAAGCCUGAUCCAGCCAUACCGCGUGGGUGAAGAAGGCCUUCGGGUUGUAAAGCCCUUUUGUUGGGAAAGAAAAGCAGCAGGUUAAUACCCCGCUGUUCUGACGGUACCCAAAGAAUAAGCACCGGCUAACUUCGUG